GUAAGCUAUGUGACCGCAUGCGGCUUUGACCGUAUGAGGAAAGUCCGAGCUCCGCAGGGCAGAGUGCCGGGUAACACCCGGUGGAGGCGACUCCAAGGAAAGUGCAACAGAAAUAGACCGCCGCUUUUAGCGGUAAGGAUGGAAAGGCGAGGUAAGAGCUCACCGGCGACAUGGCGACUUGUCGGCCCUGUAAACCCCACUCGGAGCAAGAUUGGAAUGAGAGCAUUUAAUGGCGGCCCGUCACGCUCUCGGGAAUCGCUUGAGCGUAUCGGCAACGAUGCGCCUAGAUAGAUGGUCACACUUAGACAGAACUCGGCUUACGGCUUG
rnacentral:RNase_P_RNA from 1 species